rnacentral:rRNA from 1 species
AUACGUAGGUGACAAGCGUUAUCCGGAUUUACUGGGCGUAAAGGGCGUGUAGGCGGUCUUGCAAGUCAGAAGUGAAAUUCCUGAGCUCAACUCGGGCGCUGCUUCUGAAACUGCAGGACUUGAGUGCUGGAGGGGAUAGCGGAAUUCCUAGUGGAGCGGUAAAAUGCGCAGAUAUUAGGAAGAACACCGGUGGCGAAGGCGGCUAUCUGGACAGUAACUGACGCUGAGGCGCGAAAGCGUGGGGAGCAAACGGGAUUAGAUACCCCGGUAGUCCUGGCAGUAAACGAUGUAUGCUGGGUGUGAGACUAGCGAUAGUUUCGUGCCGAAGUUAACGCGAUAAGCAUACCGCCUGGGGAGUACGGUCGCAAGAUUGAAACUCAAAUGAAUUGACGGGG